rnacentral:rRNA from 1 species
CGGCCCAGUAAGUCCUCCGUUAAAUCCAACGGCUCAACCGUUGGGCUGCGGGGGAUACUGCUGGGCUAGGGGACGGGAGAGGCCGGGGGUAGUCCCGGGGUAGGGGCGAAAUCCGAUAAUCCCGGGAGGACCACCAGUGGCGAAGGCGCCCGGCUGGAACGCGCCUGACGGUGAGGGCCGAAAGCCGGGGGAGCGAACCGGAUUAGAUACCCGGGUAGUCCCAGCCGUAAACGAUGUAGGCUCGGUGUUGGGCUGCCUCAGUGGCAGCCCAGUGCCGCAGGGAAGCCGUUAAGCCUACCGCCUGGGGA